rnacentral:rRNA from 1 species
AUUGAACGCUGGCGGCAUGCUUUACACAUGCAAGUCGAACGGCAGCGCGGGCUUCGGCCUGUUGGCGAGUGGCUAACGGGUGAGUAAUUCAUCGGAACGUGCCCAGUAUUGUGGGAUAGCCCGGCGAAAGCCGGAUUUAUACCGCAUACGACCUGAGUGUGUAAGCGGGGUACCUAAAUGCCUCGCGCUAUUUGCUCGGCUGAUGUCGGAUUAGCCAGUUGGUUGGGUAAUGGCUUACCAAGGCGACGAACCGUAGCUGGUUUGAUAGGAGGACCAGCCAAACUGGGACUGGGAAAGGGCCAGGAUUCCUCGGGGAGGAAGAAGAGGGGAAUUUUGGAAAAGGGGGGAAACCCGGCUCCAGACAUGCGGCGUGGGGGAAGAAGGCCUUCGGGUUGAAAACCGCGUUUGUUGGGGAGGAAAUCCUCUGGGCUAAUAACCCGGGGGGAUGACGGUACCGGAAGAAUAAGCAACGGCUAACUACGUG